AGAGCCUCAAUCUUCGGAUGGUAA
rnacentral:siRNA from 1 species